rnacentral:rRNA from 1 species
UACAGAGGGGGCAAGCGUUGUUCGGAAUUACUGGGCGUAAAGGGCGCGUAGGCGGCCUGCUAAGUCGAACGUGAAAUCCCUCGGCUCAACUGGGGAACUGCGUCUGAUACUGGAUGGCUUGAGUGUGGGAGAGGGAUGCGGAAUUCCAGGUGUAGCGGUGAAAUGCGUAGAUAUCAGGAGGAACACCGAUGGCGAAGGCAGGUCUCUGGGCAGUAACUGACGCUGAGGAGCGAAAGCAUGGGGAGCGAACAGG